AGUCAGACCUUUAUUACCGUCAAUCAUGAGGACUUUGGCUAUUGUUACGCUGUUGGCCCUAUCUGUCUGCUUGGUGAGUUCCCAGUACUGCCUCACUAGUUCAUACUGUAGAGGUAACGGACAGACAACUUGCGACAACAGUAAUCUGGAAUACUGUCACAACCAUCACUGCACGUGCGCCAGCGCCGCCCAUAAUUCCGACUGUACCUCACAGAGUGAUUGUACUUCCCAUACACACACCUGUCUUCACUGUGUAGACCAACACUGUAUUUGUGUUUAAUCAGCAGUAGAGGAAACUUUGUGGAUUUCCCACUCCAUUCUCUGCUGAAACGACUAUGUUGAUUUAUCAGGAUGGUAAUAAAAUGUAAAACAUGA